AGGGACUGGCGGGACUGCGCGGCGGCAACAGCAGACAUGUCGGGGGUCCGGGGCCUGUCGCGGCUGCUGAGCGCUCGGCGCCUGGCGCUGGCCAAGGCGUGGCCAACAGUGUUGCAAACAGGAACCCGAGGUUUUCACUUCACUGUUGAUGGGAACAAGAGGGCAUCUGCUAAAGUUUCAGAUUCCAUUUCUGCUCAGUAUCCAGUAGUGGAUCAUGAAUUUGAUGCAGUGGUGGUAGGCGCUGGAGGGGCAGGCUUGCGAGCUGCAUUUGGCCUUUCUGAGGCAGGGUUUAAUACAGCAUGUGUUACCAAGCUGUUUCCUACCAGGUCACACACUGUUGCAGCACAGGGAGGAAUCAAUGCUGCUCUGGGGAACAUGGAGGAGGACAACUGGAGGUGGCAUUUCUACGACACCGUGAAGGGCUCCGACUGGCUGGGGGACCAGGAUGCCAUCCACUACAUGACGGAGCAGGCCCCCGCCGCCGUGGUCGAGCUAGAAAAUUAUGGCAUGCCGUUUAGCAGAACUGAAGAUGGGAAGAUUUAUCAGCGUGCAUUUGGUGGACAGAGCCUCAAGUUUGGAAAGGGCGGGCAGGCCCAUCGGUGCUGCUGUGUGGCUGAUCGGACUGGCCACUCGCUAUUGCACACCUUAUAUGGAAGGUCUCUGCGAUAUGAUACCAGCUAUUUUGUGGAGUAUUUUGCCUUGGAUCUCCUGAUGGAGAAUGGGGAGUGCCGUGGUGUCAUCGCACUGUGCAUAGAGGACGGGUCCAUCCAUCGCAUAAGAGCAAAGAACACUGUUGUUGCCACAGGAGGCUACGGGCGCACCUACUUCAGCUGCACGUCUGCCCACACCAGCACUGGCGACGGCACGGCCAUGAUCACCAGGGCAGGCCUUCCUUGCCAGGACCUAGAGUUUGUUCAGUUCCACCCUACAGGCAUAUAUGGUGCUGGUUGUCUCAUUACGGAAGGAUGUCGUGGAGAGGGAGGCAUUCUCAUUAACAGUCAAGGCGAAAGGUUUAUGGAGCGAUACGCCCCUGUCGCGAAGGACCUGGCGUCUAGAGAUGUGGUGUCUCGGUCCAUGACUCUGGAGAUCCGAGAAGGAAGAGGCUGUGGCCCUGAGAAAGAUCACGUCUACCUGCAGCUGCACCACCUACCUCCAGAGCAGCUGGCCACGCGCCUGCCUGGCAUUUCAGAGACAGCCAUGAUCUUCGCUGGCGUGGACGUCACGAAGGAGCCGAUCCCUGUCCUCCCCACCGUGCAUUAUAACAUGGGCGGCAUUCCCACCAACUACAAGGGGCAGGUCCUGAGGCACGUGAAUGGCCAGGAUCAGAUUGUGCCCGGCCUGUACGCCUGUGGGGAGGCCGCCUGUGCCUCGGUACAUGGUGCCAACCGCCUCGGGGCAAACUCGCUCUUGGACCUGGUUGUCUUUGGUCGGGCAUGUGCCCUGAGCAUCGAAGAGUCAUGCAGGCCUGGAGAUAAAGUCCCUCCAAUUAAACCAAACGCUGGGGAAGAAUCUGUCAUGAAUCUUGACAAAUUGAGAUUUGCUGAUGGAAGCAUAAGAACAUCGGAACUGCGACUCAGCAUGCAGAAGUCAAUGCAAAAUCAUGCUGCCGUGUUCCGUGUGGGAAGCGUGUUGCAAGAAGGUUGUGGGAAAAUCAGCAAGCUCUAUGGAGACCUAAAGCACCUGAAGACGUUCGACCGGGGAAUGGUCUGGAACACGGACCUGGUGGAGACCCUGGAGCUGCAGAACCUGAUGCUGUGUGCGCUGCAGACCAUCUACGGAGCAGAGGCACGGAAGGAGUCACGGGGCGCGCAUGCCAGGGAAGACUACAAGGUGCGGAUUGAUGAGUACGAUUACUCCAAGCCCAUCCAGGGGCAACAGAAGAAGCCCUUUGAGGAGCACUGGAGGAAGCACACCCUGUCCUAUGUGGACGUUGGCACUGGGAAGUGCACAGCCAGAGAACAACACAUCACACACAGGAAACAGUUGUGCUCAUGUGAUGGGGGCCUCAGCACUAGGAAGGAGCGGACUAUUGGUGCACGCAGCAGCUUGAAUAAAUCUGAAAGUCACUAUGCUGUGUAAGAGAAGCCAAAUUUUAAAAGUGCAUACUGUGUACAGAGGGUGUCGAGAAUGCCUCCUACGUGACGGAAAGCAGAUCCGUGGUUCCCUGCAGACUGGCAGGAGCAGAUUCCAAAGGCACAGGAAGAAGCUUGUGGGUAGAGUGUGUUCAUUAUCUUCUGUGCAUUACACCAUAAAAAAGCUGGUCAUAAAAAUGCGAACCAAAAACAAAGGUGAAACUAGGAUAAAAUUUCUCACCUGUGUGAUUGGUAAAUGUGCAGGUUUGACAUCAUGCUUUGUUUAUGAAGCUGUGGGAUACAAGGACUCUCAUACGUCACUGUGGAAUGCAGAACAUUGCAACCUCAUGGAAGAGGAUUUGGCAGCAUCUAACAAAAGUGCCAACCCUGAGACCAAAAUUUGGAAGGUGGCCCUGAGCAGCAGCUGAAGGGAAGCGGGAGGUAAGACAGGAAAGAGGUGAGGGCACAGGGUGUCUGGGAGCCGGAUCCCACGUGGGCAGCUGGGCCCGUGCUCAUUGUGGGAGCUGGUGCAUUCCUUCACCAGCCCACGCUCCACAGGGUCAGGAUGGUCAAUUCCGGGCACCCCGGCCUAAUCCAGGACAUGCUCCUGCCACCAGAGAAAGCCCCUAGGCAGCAUCCCGGGUGCUGGUGGUGUCAGAAUCAAGUUUGAGUCUGAGGAGUGACCUGGGGCUGGCUGGGCUAGGCAGCAUCACAGGGUUCUGCAGCCCAACUGCACAUCAGGCUGGUGACAGUCACACAGCCUAUUACUUCGUGUGUCAUCAGAGCAUCGCCAGAACGCAGCACUUCAAGUAUGCAGAUUUAGUGAGCCAUAGUUUAAAGACAAAUAGAGCCACUGAAAUCCUAAAUUUCAAUCAAUCAUCUCCUUGUUACUUGUCUUAUUGGUAUUAAGCCUUUGAAAUUAUCUGGGGUGGGAGUUAAAACUAUAACUAAUUAUGUUAAUGCUAAAACUAAGAUUUUUCUGGCCAGGUGCGGUGGCUCACACCUGUAAUCCCAGCACUUUGGGAGGCCGAGGUGGACAGAUCACCUGAGGCCAGGAGUUUAAGACCAGCCUUGCCAACAUGGUGAAACCCCAUCUCUACUAAAAUUCAAAAAUUAGCUGGGCAUGGUGGCAGGUGCCUGUAAUCCCAGCUAUUCAGGAGGCUGAGGCAGGAGAAUCUCUUGAACCAGGAGGCGGAGGUUGCAGUGAGCCUAGAUUGUGCCACUGCACUCUAGCCUGGGCAACAGGAACAAAACUCCAUCUCAAAAAAUAAAAAAAGAUUUUUCUGAGAAAAAGGUGUAAAACCAUAUACUAAAUUUGAAAUAGAAAUAUAAGCAUUAACUCUGUUGUUCCUUUCACAUAGACACAUUUCCUAGCUCUGCCCCAGGAGCAGUAGGCACAUGAAGCACCUAGACUUGGUCUCUAAUACAUGAAAACCAUGAAUUCAUAGUGAUGGUUUCAAAGCCAAAACCAACCAACCAAACACAUGUAAUUGGUCACUCUUGGAGGUACCUAGGGCACUAACUCCUAACACUGGGAGUGGACACUUGAGGGAAGAUCAGCGAUUAUCCCACCUUCUGUCUACAAAUUGCAAUCAGGGAAACCUUGCUGAUUAGGAAAAGUUCUUUACAGAAGAAUUCCUGCAAAUAAGUGAGUAAAGAAUGACAGUUUAAGAAUUGUCCCAGCCUGGCCAACAUAGUGAAACCCCAUCUCUAAAAAUACAAAACAUUAGCCAGGCAUGAUGGUGGGUGCAUGUAAUCCCAGUUACUCAGGAGGCUGAGGCAGGAGAGUUGCUUGAACCCGGGAGGCGGAGGUUGCAGUGAGCCAAGAGUGCGCCAUUGCACUCCAGCCUGGGCAACAAGAGCGAGAUUCUGUCUCAAAAAAAAAAAAAGAGUUGUCAAAUUGCCACCCCAAUGCUGUGGUUCUCUAACCUGUGUAACAGGAUCACCUGGAGGGACCCUACCCGAGACCUUCCGAUUCAGUCCUGGGGGAACCCUACCCCAGAUCUUCCGAUUCAGUCCUGGGGGGACCCUACCCCAGAUCUUCCGAUUCAGUCCUGGGGGAACCCCACCCCAGACCUUCCGAUUCAGUCCUGGAGGGACCCUACCCCAGAUCUUCCGGUUCAGUCCUGGUUCGGCCUGAGAAUUUGCAUUUCUAACAUGUCCAGGGACCACAGUUUGAAAACCUCCACAGCUGACAUGUAAUGGGAUGACUUGGUCCAAUAAAUGAAGGAAAAGUAACAGGUGGCAACCUCAGGCAGCUUCAUCCCAACCAGUAAGAAAGUAAAUCCUUUUGUAAACUAAGAGGAAGUAUUAAUAUGGGCGUUUGAGCAAACAUUUAAGUGUUAGGACAAAGAAUUAAAAACUAGCACAGGCACCCCUGAAGCAUGAUAGGAUGGCAACAGAAGGGCUGAUUUAGUUUCCAAGAAAUAACUGACAGGCAGUGUUGUGUGUGUGUCUACUGCUUAGGAACCCAAAACAAACCUUCAGACCAUUUUCAUGAGUACUGAGACCAGGAAAACCACUGGGCAGUGGGUGGUCUGGAAAUGUAAAUGUUUAUAGUACUCCAUGGAGUACUAUAUGAGUCAUGGAACGAUGUUUCAUAUUGAAAAUGUUUUAUAAAUGUGGGUUUCAAGGUUUUAAAGUGAACCCAUGUGUGUGAGGAGAAAGGACACACCAAAGAAGUAAAAUAAUUGGGUCAAUAUAAAAAGAAAGUAGAAUAUUGCCCAGAGAGGAGAUGUGGAUAAUUCCUAACACGGAUCAAAGGUGAGCUGUGUCUAAGACAGUCAGACCUGCACCGUCCCGUGCAGUAGACACCGUGGCCGCUGUGUCUGAGAUAUUCAGACCCUCGCCGUCCCGUGCAGUAGACACGGUGGCCGCUGUCUGUAAGAUAUUCAGACCCUCGCCGUCCCGUGCAGUAGACACGGUGGCCGCUGUGUCUAAAAUAUUCAGUCCCGUGCAGUAGACACGGUGGCCGCUGUGUCUAAGAUAUUCAGACCUGCACCAUCCUGAGCAGUAGCCACAGUGGCAAGUAGCCUCUGCACUGGACAGUGCAGCUACAGAAUGAUGCUAUCACUAGAAAGUUCCAUCAGCCAGCACUGAUGCAGACCUUUGCAAAUGCCCCUCACACUGAAUAGCACCUAGCUGAUAGAUUGUCCACUACUCAGUGAAAAGCCUGUGUUAAAAGCAGUAUUUGGUAGAAAAGCAAAAAAGGGGAAAAAAUUAAAAGUGGUAAGUCAUUGUCUUCCUUACUGAAUUCUAGCAGAAGAAUGUUGGAAGGAAGAUGGGAGUCACGGGAGAAAGUAUCAUUGUCCCAGGACAGGAGGGGGUGCCAGGCAUGGUUGGCUCUGUCCCUGGAAUUCUAUGGCGGGAAUCUGGAAAAAGGAAAAGUGACUGGAGAAGAAAAGAUUCUGUGUGCAAAUGUCAUGAUGCAGCCAUCAGUCAUCCUGAGAAAAUAAGCGAACAAAGUGGCUUCAGAUGGAUGCUGUUGGAUACAUGUACAGAUACAAUGUACACUUGCAUAUGCUUGUUCACACAAAGGACAGGAUGGUUAUCUGUUCAUUUAACAAAUACUUGUUGAGGGCCUAUAUGUGCCAAAGACAUCAGAUGCAUAAGAGGGUGCACUAUGGAAAGCCUCAGGAACACAAGUGCCCAGAAACAUUUAGAAAAAUUCUAAUGAAAACAGAAAAGGCAUUUUCAAAUUAGCUGAGAGAAACGAGACCAAAGGAAAGACUGACCCAGUAUUUGGAUACAUUAUGUGAUGAACCUUAAUGCAGGGAGGAAAGUGUUAUCUUUCAGUUAAUUUCUCAACUUCUGGAGAGCUUAGAACAGACCUGGCUAGGAGGAAAUUGAAUCUGAGGCAGAUGAGGAGAUAGUGGUGCCUUGAUGCUUCCAGUGAUUGGGUCAGCAGAACCAGGGGUGGGAGAUGAUCUCUCUUUUUGUUGGCAGAUGGUGGUCUCUGCUGUAGCUUUGUCCCCUGGUGACGGGACUCAGGCAGCAACCCCCAUCAUUGGCAAUACCCCCACCUCUGAGAAUGUGGAGAGGACUUGUGAAGACAAUGUUGUCCCAAGCAGCACAGCCCAGGUACUGACAGGAUUCAGAGCUAGAGGUUUCUUAGAGGUCAGGGUUGUAGAAGCAGCAGGGACUGCAGCUGCAUAGUUUGUGUAUGUAACAGGCUAGUAUCUCUUGUUCUAGACUCAUCCAUUUGUACAUUCAUAUGAGUAUGCACGCAGGGUGUUUUUUCUUUCUUUUUUUUUUUUUGAGACGGAGUCUCACUCUGUUGCCCAGGCUGGAGUGCCUGGUGCAAUCUCGGCUCACUGCAAGCUCCGCCUCCCGGGUUCACGCCAUUCUCCUGCCUCAGCCUCCCAAGUAGCUGGGAUUACAGGCACCUGCCACCACGUCUGGCUAAUUUUUUGUAUUUUUAGUAGAGACGAGGUUUCACCAUGUUAGCCAGGAUGGUCUUGAUCCACCCGCCUCAGCCUCCCAAAGUGCUGGAAUUACAGCUGUGAGCCACCGCGCCUGGCCAGGGUGUUUUUUCUUUAAACCUUAAUUUCAUAGUAAUUAACCUCCCUUUCAAGAGUCAGCCUUGCUGCCCCUGAGAUGAUGCAGAAAAAGCACAAAAGGAUCUGGGCUUGAAUCUCCUCUUACUGCCUGCUUGGCUUUAGGCAAGUUACCUUCUCUGAACUCUAGUUUUCUCUUCAGUAAAAUGUGGAUAUGGUGCCUUGGCAUGGGGAGGAUUAAACAAAGCCACAUAUUUAAAUAUUAUAAGGGUGGAUUAUAUUUAAAUAUUAAAAGGGUGGAUUCUA